rnacentral:rRNA from 1 species
UUUGUUUGGAGAGUUUGAUCCUGGCUCAGGACGAACGCUGGCGGCGUGCUUAACACAUGCAAGUCGAACGGAAAGGCCCUUCGGGGUACUCGAG